rnacentral:rRNA from 1 species
UACGAAGGGGGCUAGCGUUGCUCGGAAUCACUGGGCGUAAAGCGCGCGCAGGCGGUCCUUUAAGUCUGAUGUGAAAGCCCACGGCUCAACCGUGGAGGGUCAUUGGAAACUGGAGGACUUGAGUACAGAAGAGGAAAGCGGAAUUCCACGUGUAGCGGUGAAAUGCGUAGAGAUGUGGAGGAACACCAGUGGCGAAGGCGGCUUUCUGGUCUGUAACUGACGCUGAGGCGCGAAAGCGUGGGGAGCAAACAGG